AAUCCUAGCUCAUUUCUCACAGCAUCUGGAAAAUUCUGGAACUACCCAGAAAUACACACUUAUCCUCUCCAAAGCCAGAAAAAGACACGUGCACACAGACUCGAGCUUCUGUGAACCCGGCUUAUAUAAAGCAAGCGCCGUCUACGCUGUCGUCAUUAUAAUCCCCCUCAAAGACUGUUUAUUACCCUAGGCCUCUCUCAUUCUGCUAAGCACUGUCCAGAGCAGCAAGCUACUCAGCCUGCAAGGAUGCUUUGUGUCCUGGAAGUGAAGCACCAAGAACAGGACAAGCUUGUUCCUAUGGACACCAUUAGCACUGCUGACCACCGUCACCUGGGAAUUGACUCCGAGUCAUAUUUCUACUCACAAGGCUCGCUCUCCCAUCUACUUUGGAACCAAAGAAGCUUGCUUGCAAGAGGACUGACAGCGAUCCAAACCUAGGGAGUGGGAGGUGAGCAGCCAAAGGUGCUCUCUAAGCCUGGAACCCCAUUGCUGCUCUGAGCCACAACUUCAGCCAACCACCGCACUCAUCCAAUCUCUCCUGGAACCAGCAAAGGCAAAAUGCUUCAAGUUCCUGGAACUCGAGUUUCUCCACUCUGUCCCUGGCCUUGUUUUCUCGUGUGUCAAAUUAGGGUAAUCAGAUUGUUAGAAGAAAUGGGAAAAGAUUCGGCUAAAGGUGUUGACAC
rnacentral:lncRNA from 1 species